GACGAACGCUGGCGGCGUGCUUAACACAUGCAAGUCGAACGGAGAAGCCCCAGCUUGCUGGUGUUGAUCAGUGGCGAACGGGUGUGUAACACGUGAGCAACCUGCCCCUGACUGUGGUAUAAGCGCUGGAAACGGCGUCUAAUAUUGGAUACGAGAAGUUUCCGCAUGGGCAUUUUCUGAUAAGUUUUGUUGUUGGGGAUGGUCUCGCUGCCUAUCAGCUUGUUGGUGAGGUUAUGGCUCACGACGGUGACGACGGGUAGGCGGCCUGAGAGGGCGACCGGCGUCACUGGGACUGAGACACGGCCCAGACUCCUACAGGCGGCAGUGGGGGGGAAUAUUGCAGAGUGGGCGGAAGCCUGAUGCAGCGACGCCGCGUGGGGGAUGACGGCCUUCUGGUUGUAAACCUCUUUCAACGGGGAAGAAGCGGUAGUGACGGUACCUGCAGAAGAAGCACCGGCUAACUACGUG
rnacentral:rRNA from 1 species